UACGAAGGGUGCAAGCGUUACUCGGAAUUACUGGGCGUAAAGCGUGCGUAGGUGGUUCGUUAAGUCUGAUGUGAAAGCCCCGGGCUCAACCUGGGAACUGCAUUGGAUACUGGCGAUCUGGAGUGCGGUAGAGGGUGGCGGAAUUCCCGGUGUAGCAGUGAAAUGCGUAGAUAUCGGGAGGAACAUCCGUGGCGAAGGCGGCCACCUGGACCAGCACUGACACUGAGGCACGAAAGCGUGGGGGAGCAAACAGG
rnacentral:rRNA from 1 species